rnacentral:lncRNA from 1 species
AAAACUUACCUGCAGCUUUAGGAAUUGUCAAUAUAUCGGAUAAUUUAGUCAUAAAUUCUUGAAUGCUAACCUUGCCACUUUCUGUAAGGCAAAGCAUAAUUUACUUAAAAGAAAGAAUUAUUGUUUCAGAAUUAAAUAAUAUAGCUGAAGCUAAUAGUCAAAUUAUAACAGAAGUUAAAAGCUUGAGAGUAAGGCUGGGCUAUUUCUUCUCCCUUACCUCUUGCAUGCAUAUGAUUAUCAAUUUCUGCUCAUUUUAUUUCCAAAUACUUCUUGAAUUUACUACUGCAUUAACUAAUACCUUUAUUAUUACAAUGGCAUCUUUAAAAACCUAUGCCACCAGUCUCAUCUUCUAUUUAUUUUCCACAGUAUGUCAAGGGAUGUAUUCCUCUUUAAAAAAAUUGAUUAUUCCCAUGCAUAAAACCCUUCAGUAGCUCCUAAUUGCCUACAAAACUACAGAAUAAAUAUAAUACUGAGGAGGUGAGGGAGGGAAAUUAUAGACCAAUAUUACUCAUACAUGUGUUAAAGUAUAAGUAAAAUACUACUUAUAGGAUUCGGCAGUACAACAAUGAAAAAAAAAUUCAAGAUACUUUCAGAACAUACAUUCUCAUUGAGAGUGAUACUGCUCUCAAGGGGUAAAACUGGUUCUUAGGAGAAAAAAAAAAUCUCAGAUAUUACAAUAGUUUCUGGCCAUAGUACUUAAACAGAUAUAUGGUAUAUCUGUGGUAUUAAAUUUUCAUGGGGGUGGGGGAUAAUUAGGAACUAAAAUGUCUAUAAAGGCUUCUUAGGGGAGCAAGAGAAAAAAAGGUUAGAAACACUGCUUUAGUAUGACAGUAGACACAUAAAUUUAAUCUCUCCACGUGGUCUCCAAAAAUCCAUACAAAUUAACAAGUAAGGCAAGUAAAAUAACCUAUAGUCCAUGCCUACAGUGUAACUAAGAGGCAGAAUAUUAAACAUUUGUAUUUGCAUAUAAGUCAGGAAAUAAAAAUUUAGGACCAGCGCAGUCAGCUUCAGAGCCUACACCAAAGAGGAAACUCAGGCCAGACAUGGUGGCUCAUGCCUGUAAUCUCAGCACUUUGGGAGGCUGAGAUGGGCAGAUCACUUAAGGUCAGGAGUUCCAAACCAGCCAGGCCAACAUGGUGAAACCCCGUCUCUACUGAAAAUACAAAAAUUAGCCAGGGGUGGUGGCAGGAGCCUGUAAUCCCAGCUACUCGGGAGGCUGAGGCAGAAGAAUCGCUUGCACCUUCAAGGCGGAGGUUGCAGUGAGCCGAGAAUGUGCCACUGCACUCCAGCCUGAGCGACAGAGCAAGAAUCUGUCUAAAAAAAAAAAAAAAAAAAAAAAACAAAACAAAGAGGAAACUCAG